GAUGAACGCUGGCGGCGUGCCUAAUACAUGCAAGUCCAGCGAACAGACGAGGAGCUUGCUCCUCUGACGCUAGCGGCGGACGGGUGAGUAACACGUGGAUAACCUACCUAUAAGACUGGGAUAACUUCGGGAAACCGGAGCUAAUACCGGAUAAUAUAUUGAACCGCAUGGUUCAAUAGUGAAAGACGGUUUUGCUGUCACUUAUAGAUGGAUCCGCGCCGCAUUAGCUAGUUGGUAAGGUAACGGCUUACCAAGGCAACGAUGCGUAGCCGACCUGAGAGGGUGAUCGGCCACACUGGAACUGAGACACGGUCCAGACUCCUACGGGAGGCAGCAGUAGGGAAUCUUCCGCAAUGGGCGAAAGCCUGACGGAGCAACGCCGCGUGAGUGAUGAAGGUCUUCGGAUCGUAAAACUCUGUUAUUAGGGAAGAACAAAUGUGUAAGUAACUAUGCACGUCUUGACGGUACCUAAUCAGAAAGCCACGGCUAACUACGUG
rnacentral:rRNA from 1 species